rnacentral:tRNA from 2 species
UCCGGCGUAGCUCAGUUGGCAGAGCGAGUGGCUGUUAACCACUGUGUCGCAGGUUCGAGCCCUGCCGCCGGAGCCA